rnacentral:rRNA from 1 species
GAUGAACGCUGGCGGCGUGCUUAACACAUGCCAGUCGAACGGAAAGGCCCCUGCUUGCAGGGGUACUCGAGUGGCGAACGGGUGAGUAACACGUGGGUGAUCUGCCCUGCACUUCGGGAUAAGCCUGGGAAACUGGGUCUAAAACCGGAUAGGACGCUGGGUUGGAUGCCAUGGUGGAAAGUUUUUUCGCUGUUGGGUGAGCGCGCGGCGUAUCAGCUUGUUGGGGGGGUAGUGGCGUACCAAGGCGUCGACGGGUAGCCGGACUGAGAGGGGGUACGGCCAAGUGGGGACUGAGGGAAGGCGGAGACUGGGAGGGGAGGAAGUGGGGGGGAGGAGGGCACAAUGGGCGGAAGCCUGAGGCAGCAACGCCGGGGGCGGAAUGACGGGCUGCGGGGGGAAAACAGAAUACGCCGGUGAAGAAGCGUGAGGGACGGUAAUUAAUAAAGAAGCACCGGCUAAAUACGUG